rnacentral:rRNA from 1 species
CCUACGGGUGGCAGCAGUGAGGAAUAUUGGUCAAUGGACGAGAGUCUGAACCAGCCAAGUAGCGUGAAUGAUGACUGCCCUAUGGGUUGUAAACUUCUUUUAUAAGGGCAUAAGACGAGGCGCGUGUGCCUUUUUGCAUGUACUUUAUGAAUAAGGAUCGGCUAACUCCGUGCCAGCAGCCGCGGUAAUACGGAGGAUCCGAGCGUUAUCCGGAUUUAUUGGGUUUAAAGGGAGCGUAGAUGGGUUGUUAAGUCAGUUGUGAAAGGUUGCGGCUCAACCGUAAAAUUGCAAUUGAUACUGGCAGUCUUGAGUACAGUUGAGGUAGGCGGAAUUCGUGGUGUAGCGGUGAAAUGCUUAGAUAUCACGAAGAACCCCGAUUGCGAAGGCAGCUUACUAAACUGUGACUGACAUUGAUGCUCGAAAGUGUGGGUAUCAAACAGGAUUAGAUACCCCUGUAGUC